ACAUUUCUAAACAUGUCUUCUUCCAUACUUUACCAUUCUAAACCAUAGACUAACAUAAACCCACACCAAAUCAUGUGAUUAUGAGUUAUAGCUUCAAGAAUCAACACCACAACAUAAACCCCAAUCCGUCACAAAACACCAAGAACAACAUGUAUUAUCACAAUAAGCAAAGAUAAGUAUGGACAUCAACAAAUUUCAUGGUUCAAUACACACAAAAUCCUAACCUAGUCUUUUCAUGCUUCUUCCCUCCAAAGCUAACUAUCUAUGGACCUCACCUUGAAUCAAGAAGAUGGUGAAGAUGAGGAAGAAGAUGAGAUGAUGGUGGUGGUGAUGGUGGUUCCAUGGCUUCAUUCCUCUUUCUCUUUUCUUCUUCCUUUCUCCCUUCUCCUCUUUUCCUCUUUCCUUUCUCUCUUUACUAGUUUUUCUUUCUU
rnacentral:lncRNA from 1 species